AUGCAGUCGGACGGUAGCACAGAGGAGCUUGCUCCUUGGGUGACGAGUGGCGGACGGGUGAGUAGUGUCUGGGGAUCUGCCCGAUAGAGGGGGAUAACCACUGGAAACGGUGGCUAAUACCGCAUAACGUCGCAAGACCAAAGAGGGGGACCUUCGGGCCUCU
rnacentral:rRNA from 1 species